UAAAUGGACCCAAAGGCGGUAUUUGGUAUCUCCAUUUAAUUUUUAAUAAGGGGAUAAUAAUAAGUGUUGACAUUUA
rnacentral:tmRNA from 1 species